rnacentral:lncRNA from 1 species
CCCUCCCUGCCCAGAGCGCUGCCUCAGGCCCACUCUAGGAAUAAGAGGACUGAGGCCAUAGACGCCUCCACCAGGAAGCCCUCUGGGAAGAAGACGGCCUCUGCGUCCCAGCUCUGUCCAGUGGCCUCCAAGGUCCCCACCCAGCAUCAGCCCUGAGCAUGAGCAGGCAUCGUGUGGGGGGUAAGCCGUUGGCAAGGCCACUUGGCUCUACCUUCAAGACAUACCAGAGCCUAACGCGUCCCGCCGCCUGGUCCCCUCCCGCUGGGACCUGCGCCCACCUCCUCACCGGCCCCUCCUCUGCACACAACCUCUGGAAAACCUUAAUCAGGUCAUAUCCCCGUCUUGGCCAGGCCCCCCGGGCUGCCGUCUCACUCCAAU